CUCUCGAGGAGCCAAGAUGGCCGAAUAGGAACAGCUCCGGUCUACAGCUCCCAGCGUGAGCGACACAGAAGACGGGUGAUUUCUGCAUUUCCAUCUGAGAUGAGGAAAUAGAAGUCCAGAGAGUAAAGCAGAUUGCUCAAAGCUAAUAAUGAUGACAGGAAUCAAAGCCAGAGACAGUAAUAAAUAUGGUUGUUUACACCUCUGUACCUCAUAAAGACCUCCAAGCAUUCUGUACACCAGCUCAAGAUGACUUGCUUGAAAUGGAAAAAGGCUGUUUUCAGCAGUAGUUAGCCCCUAUACUGGCAGUGUUUCACAGAAAAGGAAAGUGAAGCUUGGAAAAGUGAAACCACUUGCUCUAAGUGGCAGGAAGAGGUGGCGUUGAACCCCAGGGCUCUUGCAUUCAAAAGCUCUUUUGGAAAGAGAAAAGGAAAAGUGCAGCUGACUGAACUGUGAAGCAAAGGAGCUAAGAAGCCUGGAUGCCAACCCCAAGGGUCCUGAAGAGUCCCAUUGAGGAGCUCCUUACAGCAGAAAGCCCAUUUCUCAGAGGCACAUACAUGGUCCAG
ensembl:lncRNA novel transcript